CUGGAAAUUUCAAAGAAUUGAAUCAAUUCCAAAAAAGUUAUUCCGUCACCGUUUUUGGUGACCACUUUUCCAGUUGAUUCAUUUGGAAAUUUGCAGUGAGGGAAUACAAUUAAGUAACAAUAUAUAUAGCAUUUGUAUAUAGGCAAAGAGUAACAGAUGAUGAACUGCAUCGCAAUACAAUUAAGUAACAAGAUAUAUACCAUUUAUAUAUAGACGAAGAGUAAAAGAUGAUGAACUGCAUGGGAAUACAAUUAAGUAACAAUAUAUAUAGCAUUUGUAUAUUAGG
rnacentral:lncRNA from 1 species